ensembl:lncRNA
AGGGGAAAUGGCUUUAAGUUGAAGGAGGGAAGAUUUAGGUUGGAUGUGAGGGGGAAGUUCUUUACUGUCAGAAUGGUGAGGUGCUGGAACAGCUGCCCAGAGAGGCUGUGGAUGCCCCGUCCAUCCCUGGAGGUGUUCAAGGCCAGGUUGGAUGGGGCCCUGGGCAGCCUGGGCUGGUAUGAAAUGUGGAGGUUGGUGGCCCUGCAUGUGGCGGAGGGGUUGGAGCUUCAUGAUCCUUGAGGUCCCUCCCAACCCGGGCCAUCGUGUGAUUCUAUGAAUAUCUGCAUGACAACUGAAACUGGAGGAGCACCAUUAACCUCUUUCAGUGUUCCCAGCCAUUCUCUCUUGAGGGUUUGGCCUUUAGUGAAUGGUAAAACAGAAAGUGCUUAAGAUAACCAUCAUCUUUUAGCGGGAGAUUCAAGCACUACCACUGCAGUGUUAUGCCAUACUACACUGUGCCAAAUCCCAGCUGUUGACUACAGCCUACACAAAUAAAAAAGCCAGUUCUUCCCAGCUUACUUUGCACAUCAGGACGGCCCAGAAGACAGCACUACUCGGCUGUCCAAAGACUUGCACUGCUAUUCUGAAAUGUCAAGUUGCCUGUGCUGAGCUUUGAUGGCUACUAGUUCUUUAGCCAGCUUGUUUAAAGCCGGGUCUAGUAUGUCUGCAGUGUAAGAUGGUAUGGUGUAUGUCUGCUCUUUGGAAAGGAACUAUUGAGUUAGAGGAAACAAUAAGAAACAGAAUGGGAAUCCUGAGUAUUUUGUUAUGAUUCCGUAAAUCAAAGUAGACAUAAUAACGGGGUAGAGGAAGUUGUAUGUUACUGUUUGCUUCAGUUACUUCCUAAACUCUGCUUUUUAGUGUGAAUGUGAAAAAUGUGUUUGCAGUCUCCAUAUUUUCCAACUGCUGCUGAAAACAUAUUAGUUUGUGCUCUGCUGGCAUACCUCUGAAAUGCUAAAUCAAUCUGCCUUCUUUUAUUUACAUGCUUUAUUCCUGAGAAAUGUAAUUGUGGUUUUUAUUAACUUUAUGUUUUAUGGAUCUAAUACUUAAGAACAAGUCUAUC